AAAAUUUAAAUUAAAAAUACUAAAAUAGUAGAUAAAUAUUUCUUGAAACUUAAAUAAUUUGGCGGUAUUUUAGUUCAUUUAGAGGAAUCUGUUUAAUAAUUGAUAUUCCACGAAUAAAUUUACUUAAUUUAUAAUUUUGUAUAUCGUUGUUAUAAAAAUAUUUUUUAAUAAAAUUAAUAUUUAAAAAUUAAAAUUAAAAUUUAAAUCAGAUCAAGAUGCAGAUUAUAAUUAAGAAUAUAAUGGAUUACAAUAAAUUUAUUUAAAUGAAUUUUAAUUUGUAAUAUUUAAUUGAAGGUGGAUUUAAAUGUAAUUUUAUUUAAUUUAAUAAAAUGAUUUAAAAUUAAAAUAUGU
rnacentral:rRNA from 1 species